rnacentral:tRNA from 18 species
GGGGAUAUGGCGAAAUUGGUAGACGCUACGGACUUAAGGAAAAUCCGUCGACUUUAAAAAUCGUGAGGGUUCAAGUCCCUCUAUCCCCA